UGUGUUAGUUACAAGUUACAUUGUGUCCAUACAAGAAUGGAAUACAUAAAUAUUGAACAUUGAAAUUUUUUCCCACUCAGAAUUUCACAGAUAACUCGGAAAAUUAAUAAAGGUACAAAUAUGUAAGUAUGAGUGAUCCUUAAAAAGUUCACAGAAAGUGCAUAUAUGAAAAAUCUGUACAUGGAAUUCAAGUCAUUUUUGCACCAAAAUAAACAUCUUUUAAUUCAAAUGUUUCACGAACUCUUUGAAGUACCAUCAUACAUUAGAGGGUGCCAGAUAAAACACUAUUAUGCAUAUUUGAAAUACUUUUGUCAUUGUUUAUCUGAAAUUCUAAUUUUCCAGGGUAUCCUGUAUAUGUCUAGCAAUCUCAGAAGCAUCAGAAGAACUAAAAAUCAAGUUGAUCCAAGGUUGCCUCUGAGUGGUGGACUGAAGAACUUACGGAUGGAGUGCCAGGCAACGCCAGUGUGAAGCACGUUCACUAGAGAAAAAAGAACAAGGCAGCACGGUUGAACAUCACUGAAACUGACCCCCGAAUUCACCAGCAGUUCACGGCAGCAGCGUACAUACCUGGCAACCUAAGAGGACACCUUCUGGGAUUGCAACCAUGACGCACCCCACCCAGGUGGAGCGACUUUCAUUGUCUUUCUUGGGCACUGAUCUCAACAGAGCUGGGCGGUCCUCUUGGACUGCCUCUGCUGCUGGCGUCAGGGUGCUGUGUGCUUUUACUUCUCCCUGUGCUCCCGACAGCUCGCCUACAGUGACCACAGUGUGCCAUCAGGCGCCGUGUCUUCGCUGUGUGC
rnacentral:lncRNA from 1 species